rnacentral:lncRNA from 1 species
UAAGUGGGCACAUGGGAGCACCCUCAGCUCCCUCUCCAUGGGAUACCCUGUGGGGCACUUCAGAGUCCCCACCAGCAAGAAGGCUCUCUCUCACCAGAUGUGCCCCCCGCCAACCUUGGAUGUCUCAGUCUCCAGAACUCUUUCCCACAUUUUUAAGAUGAUAAACGAUUUGGAACGCAGCAUGAUGUACUCCCAUUUUUCUCCUUCCACACCAUCUGUUGGGGAAAAGAGGACUCACACUGAUUGAUAGUUACAGCAGAUGAGCCAGCUCCCUUGUGAAGCUGUAAGAACAUGGUACUUACAGGAGUAAGGCUCAUGAAGUGGAGAGAUGAGAAGACUUUCGGGACAGAUUGUGUGGAGGCUGUCAUUCUCCUCGUGACAUUGCUGUGGGAGAAGAAGGAGGCAUUCCAUGUUGGCUUCAGUGAAGAACUUCAGGGAGUUAAUUGAAGAUACAAUACAGUCAAGCAACAGGAGGAAAGAAACAACAAAUGGGAGACAUGAGGUUCCGAGGAUCAUGGUUCCAACACAGGACAGCAGAAAAGAGGAGUUGCAAAAUGACUGCUACAAAACAGACUUAAAGAGAAAACAUUCCAGUUUCACGUAGGAGGACAAAAGAAAAAACAAAACAACAUGAAAGAAGGAUGGAGCAAAUGCCCCAGAUGAAGCCUACACGACAUGAGUCAGAGAACUUUGGCCAGGAUGUCUGGGGAAAAAGUUUCCUCUUUCUUCUCUGGGAACUAUCUGGAGAGGGUUGUUUUAACGCUGGAUGUGAACAGCGACUCGUGUAGCCCCAGAAGCCUCUGACAGCCGCGUUGGAAUCAUAAGUUCUCAAAAUGAAGGUUGUGGUCUAGAAAGCAUAUUGUGAUUUGUACAAGAAGCACAUUCCCAUUUUACAAAAGUACAAAAGCACAUUUUGGACUUUUAACAAAUUCAACUGUUUUGUGUUCUGUGUGAGUAAAUUUUAGGUUGCCCAUCAUUGAAAACCAGUUUAAAAAAAAAUAAUGGGAGUAGAUAAUCCAGACAACAUUUUCUACCGUAUUUGUUGACUCCAGUUGUUGGAAAGUAAAAUUCUGGAGGAAGAGCUGGGAUAUCUCCAGGGGCUUAGUUUAACAUCAUCAAAGACUCUCCUGCUCCCCCUUUGCAUGUUACAGUAUCUGCUUUACCAAUCAGAGGGAAAUUUAUCAUGUAGGAUUUAAAGGAGAUAUUUAUGGCGUCCGUAAGCACAAUGACUUUGACUGGUAAGACGUCAGCUAUUCCCUUUAGGAGAUAAAAGGCCACAGCUGGUGAGGUAAUAGAACAGGAACUGUUUCAAUAUUUCAAAACAGAAGACCUUGUUGAAGAAGAGAGAUUUUAUAUGGCAUUUGCUUUUAUUUUUUUCCUUCUAUGAUGAACAGGUGUGGGAGUCAAUUCAAGAAGGCAGCUUAGAUGAUUGUGAGACAAGGGAGGGAGGUAAAUAUUUUUGAUGGUUGGGGAAGGACUGAGAUUUUCAAACUUCAAACCAAACAUGUAGUCCAAGCCUUUUCUACCUGUGUACACAAAGGAAAGAGGAAACUAAGUCAAUGUAAAAUAGGCAGUUGUUGUUUGGAAAAGUUAUGAAAUCCUCCUGGCUACACAAAACAGAAAGCCCAGCUAUGUGACAAGUGUUUGAUGUAAAUAUGCAAAUGCAGUUUUAAAUUCAUUAUACCUAAGGGAACAAGGUGUCUGGGUAAGGGGGGUUCUACUGUUUCUUAAGCUUACAAAGCAGGUCCUUGAAUAAUGUCAUUUAAGUUCAAUGUAAUUUCCUUAUAAUGUUGAUGAGAAAAAAAAAAUGGAUUCCUAGCUGAAGUCAUUGUGUGUGUGGACUUUGCAUGUCCUCCCCAUGUCUGGUUUCCUCCCAAAACCCAAAGCUGUGUCCGUUAGAUGAAUCAGUGUGUCUCACUGGUCCCAGCGUGAGUGAGUGUUGCUAUGUAUGAGUGGGCCCUGCAAUGGGAAUGGUGACCUGUCUGGGGCUGGUUCCAGCCUGGUACCCUGAGCUACCAGAAGUGGCUCUGGCCCCUUGAGCUUCUGAACUUGAAUAAGUGGGUAAAUUAUUAUCUUACUUGUUUUUGUUAACCUUUCUUAAGUGUAUGUGUAGCUCACCUUCCUUUCAAAGUUAUUUUGAUGUUUAUUUCAAUAUUAGAAGUGUUUGGGUCUUUCUUUAGAAGUUUGGUGAUUUUUUUUUUUGUGACCAAAAUAUGCUGUAGCAACUUAACUCUUGUUUAGAUCGGUUAGCUUAUAGCAAAGCUAUUUUCGUUAUGUGUUCUUUCACUUGAAGUUCCAGUUUCCAAGAACCUAUUGUCCAAGAUAAGUAAGGACUUACUGUACUUCUGGGCACACAAUGGGCUAAGCAUCUUAUAUUAUCAAAUGAGAUGAAAUAAAAUAUAAUGCUAAAAUGAUGUUAAAAAGUUAUCACAUUAUAACAAAUUAUAAGAAUUAUUAAAAUGACAGGAUAUAUUAAAGCACUGUAAAAAGUAAAGCUUAGUAGAUGCAUUAGAGGUUAUGAUUGGCAUUGCUAACAUUAUUAUUAUUAAAAUCCUUCAGUGCUGGGCACCACUUAUUUCUACCCUUAUAACCCCAUGGACCUGUACUGUAUCUUGUAAUAAAACCCUCAAUAAAUAUUUGAUACAUUGCUGAAUAAAAGGUAGGUUGACUUCUUAAAGUACCUGCAAAAUACCUCAUCCACAAGAGAAAAAGGCAAGAGAAUAACCUUGCUUCAUGAAGAAAGUAUCGAUCAUUCAGGCGUUAAAUUUUCCAUUUGUUCAUUUUUUUUUUUUUCCAGCAGAAACUCUUGGAGAAAUUGCAUAGCAUUAUUUUAAACAAUUCCCCUCAGAGGCCCAUUAGAUAGGCUUUUCUGCAGACAGGAUAGAUGUCUUUUACAGCUGGUCAGUGUUUAGUUCUCCCAAUACUUGACUGAAGAAAGAAAAUAACUGGGAUGUAAGAUAUCUGACCUAUAGAUUGCUCAUUCUCUGCAUGAGUCAAUCUUUGAAGUCGGAAGAUAAAAAUCACCAUUAAUCACAAAACUUUCUUACCAUCAUAAGGUCAGAUAUCCCAGGGCCCUUCCAAAAUUACCACGUGGACUGGCAUAGGGCGAGAUUGGCUCAGCUGUGGUCACUUUUAUGACACAGAGCUCCUUCCCUCUGGUUGAUGAUAUUGAAUGAGCAGGAAGGAAGAAAAGAAAUAAAAGUCAGCUAACCAUGGUUGAGUCAAUCCAGCCCACGGCAUUCAAAGGCUGAAGGGCCACCUGACACUCCAGAGGCUGCUGGAAAUGCAGGGCUGUUUCAUCCUGGGUAUUUUCCAGAGAGAAGUACUGAGAAGCUUAAAGUAUUUGAAUGGGAGGAGGAGAAGCAAACUACAGCUACUUCAGAGGAUAACACUAAACACCUAGUCCACUCUGUAUACACUAGAGGUGCUGUUAAUUUUCUUGUGGAGAAGGAACUGUCUUUAGAAAAAUAUCUCAAAAAGCCACUGAAGUAGAAAGUUUCAGCAUGCUGAAGAUGGAACUUGAGAAGAUAGAAAGUUCUGGGUCCUUAGUGGCAUGACUGAGUCGCUGGACCACUGUUGGAACCACCCUAUGUCUUAGUUUUUAAAUCUCUUUACUGUCUAAGACAUUUUUAGUGGAAGUAUUUAUCUCUGGCAUCCAAUAAGACCUUUAAGGAUUUGCAGUUUUAUCUAUGUGUUUGUUUAUUGUCUGCUCCACCCUACUUGAUUGUGAUCACCAUGACAUCAAUGACUGUGCAUCUUUUGUUCACUCAGGAAUAUCCAGUGCCUGCCACGCAGAGUGUGCUGCAUGUACAUGCUCACUUGAUAUCUGUUGUAGCAAAGAGUGAAAGAGAGAAGGAAUAAAUGCUUUCUCCCAUGAUGAGGGGACAUGGGGUCCAGACAAGCUGGACCAUUAUCCCAGGCCCAGCGCUCUGCUUUAUUUUUUUUUUUCCAGUACAGCAUCACAUUCAGUUACAACAGAGUGAAAUCUCCUAAGAACACGGCUGAUUAUUUCUUGAUUGCAAAAAGGACUCACUAACCCUCCGAUCUCCUGUAACGCAAGUCAAUGCUCUUCUAAUCUCCUUUUAGACAGCACCUGUACUUGUCAGUCAACGCAUGGUAGUCUGGGCUAGCCAAGUGAAUCCUUAACUAAACUGAAGUGGUGCUGAUCAUUCAGCCUUCAGAAUUGAAAAAAUCACAGCAUUGCUGAAGGAAAAGGCAUUUUUCAGGUAGAGAGGCAUAAGUCUUGGGCCAGGAAGCUUCAGUAAGAAGACAAUAAUUUCAUAGAAAUGCAUUAGCUUGGGGAGUCCAACUGCUGUUCUUGCACCUAAGAAAUUCAGAGGAGAGCUCUUUGCUUCCUUGCUCAUUCCAGUGGUUAGGAGUCAGGCCUUGUCCCAGAAUGUUCAGGUUGAUGCUUACCAUUUAAGCCUUAAGUUAAUCCGUUGAAGCUCCAGGCCUUUUAUGGGAUUCACAAGAAUAAACAGCAUUUAACUAUAGAUUCUCAAAGGUCAAAUCUUCAACCUAAAUCUGAGGAUUCAAAGCAUUGUUCACUCUAAUAAUUCUGCUAGUUCCCAACUUCACACAAACCAUUUAUUUCAGAAUGUAAACCUUGAAUAAUCUUUUCUUACUUGUAGUUUUGUGGUCAUUUAGAAAACAGCAAUACUCUAUUUUAAUUGGAACUAAGUGACAAAAAUAAGCCACUUCAUUAGUUUUCUAGAUAACGGUAAAAUGUAAGAACAAAAAGCCACUUCUUUUUCCACGUGGUAUUUUACAGUGACUUUUUUUUUUCUUUUUACUGCAUUUUAAAAUUCUACUGGAGGCAUUUCUCGGAAACUUUCUCUUACUUGUUAAUGAAUCAUCCCCUUUGAGAAUCAGCAGGUGAUUUCAGGAGCCCAGGUGUGAAUAAUUGAUUUAAGGUCGACCUUGUGGGUGGAGCCAAUGUUUACCAAGUGCAUUCAUUCGACAAACAAUUGAUGAACACCAAAUUAGAGUUCAAUUCCAGAUAACAAAAACCAGUUGAACUAAUUUCAUCAGAAAGCUACUUAAUAGGGGUAAUUAGGUGCUUACAAAAUAGAAGGGCUGGAAGCCCAGGAUCUAGGCUGACACCCAUGUAGCUAGACCCUGGAAACUGGGAUUCCAGCUGCACAGAACAGCCAAGUGUGUUCAUGACUGUGCUUGUUUGUCAGCAGGAGCAUGGCCCUGCCUUGUGAUACUGUGUUUUUCAGCUCUCACGUGGCUGAGUCUGUUUGGAGAAGUUGGUUCAAGAUGCAGCUUGACUCUCAGGGAGUCUGAAUAACUACCCUUAAUAUUGUUAGCUUUCUGGUCUCCAGCACACAGUAUGAUUUUCUGGAAGAAGGAUUUAAUGUAGUUAAAUAUGCCAACGUGUAAUAUCUGAUGUACAUUUCUACCCUGCUUGGGAUACAAAAUAAAUAAAAGCCAGUUUCUGUCUGUAAGGAGUGUACAGUUUAGUAAGAAGACAGACUCCUGAACAAAGAUGUAUACUUCAAUGUUGCCAGCCCAGGAUUAGAGAUGGGUAUUAAGAGGACCUCUGAUGAGUGAUAUUUUGCAUCUGGUGCAGGACAGUUCCCUAGGUGGCCUUGGACCAAACCAGUCCUCCCGCUUUCUCACUUGUAGUUUUAAGAAUAACUAGAAUGUGCUGGGAAUGCAACAUCCCGAGAUAAGGCCUAGGCUCUGUUCCAGUCCCCGCUAGAAACAGGAUGUCCUUCAGCACAUUAAUCCAGCAGGUCAUGUUAUCCCUGGAGUAGAAAACCCAGAGACGGCUACUUUCCAGGGUCCUGCAUCUGGGGUGCAAGUGAGGCACACGCAGAUGAGACUCCACCUGCCCUGGGCAGCUUUCCUGAGCCUUGAGAAACCAGCUCACCAUGAAUCCAAGGUGUCUGCUGUUCCUUGCCACCAUUUCAUGGAACCUGUUGUAUGUACCUAUUCAUGUUUUCCAUGUUUCAAAUAUGACUGAACCUGACAUAUAUAAGAACGCAAAAGAUUCUUCAAAAUCAAACUGUGUCCGGAAUUGGUGGGUUCUUGGUCUCACUGACUUCAAGAAUGAAGCCACGGACCCUGGCGGUGAGUGUUACAGCUCUUAAGGUGGCGUUUCUGGAGUCUGUCCCUUCUGAUGUUCAGAUGUGUUCGGAGUUUCUUCCUUCUGGUGGGUUCGUGGUCUCGCUGGCUCAGGAGUGAAGCUGCAGAUCUUCACGGUUGCUAGUAACACAAUAAUAAAGCUGCUUUAUUUUCCAGUGAAGAUGUAUGUGAUAGGGAGUGGAGGAAGAAAAAGGCCAGAAAAUUCCAUAGUUAGCAAAUAUACCUUUCUUACUUAAAAUUCUUUUUCCAAUGUGAGCCUUCUAAAGAGUUACUGAGAAAUUAGGUGAGCUCACCUCAUUUAAUGCAAUAGAUAUGUUUCUGAAAAAUAAGCAAUACAUAGGACAUUGGCCAAUUAAGAAUUCUGAUGAAGAAGAAUUUUCACAUCCGAAAGAGUAAAAAUGAAAAACGGUACAAAUGUAGUGGCUUUUAAAUUUCAAAACAAAUUAUUUUGAUAAGAUAAAUAUUCCUCUCAUAAAGUGAAAAUGGAAGAGACUGCUUGCUGGGUGUUCGUCAAAAUGGAGUUAGAUGGUCUGUCCCAGACUCCCCUGUUGUUAGUUCUGAGAACAGAAGUAAUGGUGCUUCUUCAGGACUGGCUCAUAGAAACCUGCCGUGUUCAGCCCCCACAAUCCUCUCCCUUCUGCUGGCUGGAAACAAAUGACAACGAAGCCUCACGUCUUGGAGAAACCACACUGCUGAGGAACUCAAGUCCUAGAAGAACCAUUUGAAGAGACCCAUCUCACUAAAGAAAAUCACACAAGCAAGAAGUAAACUUCAUUGUAUCUAUGUAUUUAAUUGUCAUAACAGUCUACCUUAACUGAUACAGCAAAAAUUCGCUCCUUUUCUGGACACCCAGUUUCAAAAUCUCAGUGUCAUUUUUUACUUCUCUCUUUUCAGGUUGUUUAAUAUAAUAAAAUUUGUGUGUGUGUGUGUGUGUGUGUGACAAGGUCUUGCUCUGUUGCCCAGGCUGGAGUGCAAUGGCACGCUCCCAGCCCACUACAGCCUUGACCUCCAAGCUCAAGUGUUCCUCCCACCUCAGCCUCCAGAGUAACUGGGACUACAGGCAUGGGCCACCACACCCGGCUAAUUUUUGUACUUUUUGUAGAGACAGGGUUUCACCAUGUUGCCCAGGCUGGUCUUGAACCCCUGGGCUCAAGCGAUCUGCCCAUCUCCACCUCCCAAAAUUCUAGGAUUACAGGCGUGAGCCACUACACCCAACCAUUUUAUUUUUAAAAGUUUUCUUUGCAAUAUUGCUCACAUUGUUUCCUUCCUUUUUAUUCUUAUUGUCACUCCCAAGUUCAGGCUUUUACCUCUUUUAUUUGAAGUAUUAAAGUAUACUUCUAAGUCAUUUCUGUGGCUUAAAUUUAUUUAAUCCACUCCAUCCUGCAUCCUACCAACACAAUAACAUUGUUUCAUCAUUUCAAAUUGAAAUCGAAACUCUCCAAAGCUUUCCUACUGCUGAAUGGAUAAAAACACAAAAUCCUCAAUAGAGAAUUCACUUUCUGGAGCCAACUUACCUUUCCAAAUAUUUCCCAUUAUUCCCUAAGAGAAUCCUCCUGACAUACUCACUGUUUUUCAUAUACACUAGACCUUUUCUCAACCACCUAUUUGUCCACACAUUUUUCUUCCAGCUAGAAUAUUAUUUUCCCUUUCUCACUUCUGAAAGUCUUACCUGUCAUUCAUGGUUCAUCUCAAGCUCAAUCUUCUCCUUGAAACCUUUAAGCAUACCCUCCUGGAAAGUUAUCUCCCUCACCUCGAACCACCCCCCCAGCCCCUGCCAGAAUCUCCUAUAGGGCUGAUUGUUUAUCCUGCUUAUUAUAUAUUUAUAAAACACUCCACUGAGUUAUUAAUUACCUUUUCCUUGACUGUGAAAACAUGACUCUGGCUUCAAGGUAGGACCAUUUUUUCUCUAACACUGUGUCUCAUACACUUCAGCACAAGCUCUUAGUGGCCUGUGCAUUCAACUCCCAUGCAUAGCCACUUCCUCCAGGCAAACCCCACAGCCAGCAUCCAAAUUUUAAAAGGGGUUCUGUCAUCAACCCAAAGUUUCUUCUCUCUCAAGGAACCUAGAUUUAGAAGUUGAGUCUAGGCCACCUGUCUAAGAUACAGUAGUUAAUUUAACAUAUUUUAUUGCUCUCAACAUCACAGAGAAAGAGCCUUACUGCAGAUCUCAUUCUUUCCUUCAAAGCCAGUUUGCCCAUUCCUCUUCAGAAACCUUUAAGAGUGGUUAUUGGGAGAGAUGAUAAGACUCCAUCUGCUUAAGGAGUCCCUCUAACCCAGAAUAGUAGAUGUAAACACCUGACAUGUUGUUAUAGAGUGAAUGUUUGUGUUCCCCUCCAAUCCAUAUGUUGAAAUUCCAAGCCCCAAUGUGUUCGCAUUGGGAGGUGAGGCCUUUGGGAGGUAAAUAGAUCAUGAAGGUGAAGUCUUCAUGAAUGGAUUAGUGUCCUUAUAAAAGAGACCCCAGAGAGCUCUCUCAUCCUGUUUCUGCCAUGUGAGGACACAGCAAGAAGUUGGUCAUCUGCAACCUGAAGUGGCUCCUCCCCAGAAACUGAAUCUGCUGGGGUCUUAAUGGUGGGCUUCCCAGCCUCCAGAAUUAUGAGUGUAAAUGUUUGUUGUUUAAGCUACCCAGUCUAGGGUAGUUUGCUAUACUACCCCAAACUGACUAAGAUACAUAUGUUUGUCAUCCACUCAGUUGUUUUCCUAAAAUAAAUGAAGUCAGCUCCAAAGAUGAAUUUUCAUCUCUUUUUGUAGAGAUGGGUGCUAUUAUGCUUUUUAAUGAACGUUUAUUCACAAAUAAAAACAAAACAUACCUCUCACAUCCUCAGAGCAAAUACUUACAGUAACAUACAUUGAUGCUCACAAGCUCAUUACAUUUCAUGUUUACUAUUCAUUGAUAACAUUACAUUUAUUAUUAUCACAUAAACCAUACCUCCUGUUUAUGAAGCACUUAUGGUGUUUUAGUCAAUGUUAUGGUACCUGCUAUAUAUGGUCUCUAAUUUUAUUUUAACUUCCUAUAGUAAACAAUAUUAGGUGCUAACUCAAUAGUCAUUUUCUAACCUGAUUUUUCCUUGCAAACAGAACCCCAAAUUUGUUUGGAGAGAAAUGUGUCCAAAUCCAAACAAAGCAUCACCAUUUCUUUGAACCAUCAUAAGGAUCUAAUCAUUUUUUUUGUUUUCCUAGCCUCCCUCUAGCCAGAGAUACUGGGUAACACAGUUCUGGCUGAGAAGACAAGAGAAGAAAUCUGCUAAGCAUUUCUGGAAAAAGUUUUGAUUUGCUGAUGAAAGGGAACAGACAUACUGGUUGCCUUCCUUUUCCCUUUCAGCUGCCUAGUCGCCAUUUUGCAAUGUGAAACAACAUCAUUAAGGAAAGAUCAAAACAAUUGCAGAGAUGUCAACCAUCAUGCCUUUGAAUUCAUGCUCACAGUUGUCUGCCUCCAGAUUCAGUUAUAUUUGAGGUACUCUUUGAGUUAAGAUCCUUCUCAUUUUAUACCACUUGCAGCUGAACACACUCCCCACUAAUUUACCUUGUAAGGUGAAUUUCACUUAAAGGAAGAACACAUAAGUCAGGGAAUGACACAUAAUAGUAAAUGCAGGGUUUUUUUUUCUAUUUAUGAUAUAGAUUUAUACAACUGCUAUGUUCUUGACAUUGUACCAAUUUCAAGGUACAAAUAAGACAUAAUCCCUAAAAGCAUGGGUUACAAAAUCUGGGUUCAGCAUAGGGUUUCAUGAUAAACAAACAAACACAAAUUGUUUUUUAUUGUAUUUCCUUCUUCUUCACAUCUUGUGAAUCUAAGAAAAAUAUCAGAAUGUUCGUUUCAGCUCAAUUUUUGAAGAGUACAAUCUCUAAGUAAAAAGAAACUGUAAAUGUUUAUAAAUGUAACUAGAGCCUAGUAGAAAAUAAAGCCAUGCAAGUGUGUUUAGGUCCUAAUCUUAUUAACCAGAUUAGUGACACACAGUCUGCCCAAAGUUAAUGAAAGCAGUGAGGUUCUUUGACUUCAGUAGAUACACACCUGAACCACAGAGAUAAACUUGCUUCAAACCUGUGCGAUAUGUUUUUCUAAGCAUAAAAUUGAGCAUGAUAGCUCCAAUUUCAGUCUCAGUUUCAAAGCUUCCCUUUCCCGAAUAAGAGGCAAACUGUCACAUUAAAUUUAGCGAAUUAAAAUCAGUUAACUUGAAAAGCUCUUGGCCCCAAUGCAGAGAAAAUUGUUUGCAUAAUAAUAACUUAUUUCCUUUUUUAAAAGGCGGACUUCUGCCUGAAUGCUUCUAUAAACUUUUAAGAAAAUGGGAUUCUCAAAUCUCAAGCGUAUUGGGUUGCAGUUGGCACUUGAAGCUGGGGACAUGCAGAGCUGGCUAAUGUCAGCAGCUGUAGGACUGUCAAGAAAAAUAGGUGGAAGGGACACUUUUAUUAUAAGUAGACUUGCAAGGCAUUCCAACUUUCAGCUGCUCAACCCAGUAUACCAAACACCUCUGACUACCUCAAGUGUGGCCUUGCUGAGUGCUUCCAUAUUUAGGGGUUAUUAGACAGGACUGAAGCAAGUGACCUCUAAUGAGGAAGCAAUCAGGGCAGGCUCUGACCCUCCUCAGAGGUACUGUAAUGAACUGGCCUUGGAAGGUCUUUGAUGCUGCCUUUGCAUACUGUAUAUGAGCUUUCUGCUCAGUCAUUUCCUCUGCGCUCUGGUAGCACAGCAUGAAGCCUGCUAUUAGAAAAAAGGUUUAUUGCUACCUUGCAAACAUUUAUUGGGUAAUAUCUAAAACAUGGUGUCAAGUUAUAGUAAUGCGCUGUUCUGGGAAACUUUUUGAGAAUUUUAGUGUUUCAGAAGAUGGUCCUUUGAGAAUUCUUCUGUUUCAGAAAUGAAAAGUGGUAGAUAUAUACGUGUGUGUGUAUAAUAUGCUCAUGUAUCCUCUGAUUACUUGCCAGAGAUGUACCAUUUUUCUUUCAAGGGAAACAUCUAUUCCUAAGAUAGAUUAUUCUUGAAAUUUUCAAAGAGUAUGCCUCAGAGAACAAAUAUACAAAUUUACCAUUUGUCUGCAGAUAUUAUUUGCCUGUGUUUAUGCUAGGUCACUGACACCACACACAUUUUAAUCCCCAAGGGAAUUUAUUUGGUGGUGUUAUCUACUCAACCAAGCUGAAGCUUAUCUAGUUCACAAGAAAAUAGUCAAUAUGAGCUCCAUGCAGACUUAUGCUGUUAAUGCAGAAGAGGGAAAGAGAAUUUACCUUUAACUGUUAUGAUGAAAAUGUGUACAAUGACACUUAACUAUGGCAUGCAAAUCCUCUUUUCCUCCCCCACAGGUAUCUGGAAAGUACCUUAUACAGCUAGGUGCUUAGAAAAUGUUUAUUGAUUAAAUAGAUGAUGAUUAACAGAUUAAUAAAAGGUGAAAGUUACUAUCUAUGCAUUUUUUUCCAGUUUGAUGUUCAAAAACUUACCAAUGGAUGGGGAGUUGCUUUUCAUAAACAAUUUAUAAAGCACUGUCCUGGAUGAAAUUGUAAAAAGGACGUGGUGUCAAAGAUGACUCAGUGGAGUUGAGGUGAAAAAUGUGUAAUGAGCAAAUCAUGGUAAUUGGGAUAUCCAUCACCUCAAACCCUUAUCAUGUCUUUGUGUUGAGGACAUUUCAAAUCUUCCCUUCCAGCUAUUUUGAAAUAUACAACAAAUUAUUGUUAAGUGUAGCCACCCUAGUGUGCUACUGUACACUAGGACUUACUUAUUCCUUCUAUCUAACUGUAUUUUUGAACCCAUGAACCAACAUCUCUUUGAUUUCCAGCCUGGGCUUUGGUGUCCCUUUUUUUGUGUGUUUUCAUAGGGCCCUAUAUUUAUAUUAUUUGGGCUCAACACAUUGCAAAACUGCAGAGGAGUUUACUAUUAUGCACAUUAUUAUUCUAUAUUCUGUCACUCUAAGAAACAAUAAGUGACCAUCUGAAGAGACCAUCUUCUAGCACCAAAAUAUUUAAAGAUGAUUAAGAAUAAGACAAGGGUCUCCUUAUUUACAAAAUGACAUAAUUGAAAGGACUAGAUUAUUAGCAACCCCUCUGGAAAAGGAUUACUCUUUUGGAUUUUAAUUACAUAACUAAUAUAUCAACUGAAGUGCUAUGCCCUGACGUGUGCUCCCCUCAGCUUCACGAUCCAUAUGUUGAAACCCAACCCCUUAAUGUGAUGGCAUUUGGAGAUGGGGCUUUGGAGAUAUUAGUUAGGUUUAGAUAAGGUCAUGAGAAUGGGGCUCUUAUGAUGAGAUGAGCACCUUCAUAAAAAGAGACACGAGGUAUUUCUCUUUUCUCUCUUCUCUCUCUCCCUCUUUCCCUCCCUCCCUCUCUCCUCCUUCUCUGUCUUCCUCCUUUAUGUGAGGACAUAGCCAGAAGGCAGCUGUGUCUGCAAGCCAGGAAGAAAGCCCUCACCAGGAAUCAACUAUAUCAGCACCUUGAUCUUGAACUUCUAUCCUUAGAACAGAGAGAAAAUGAAUUUCUAUUCUUGAAGCCACCCAGCCUACGGUAUUUUGUUAUGGCAGUCAAGCUGAAUAAGAUAUAUAUCUACACUGAGACCAUUAAAAGUAGUUCCUGAUUGGCAGAAAGGUUGUAUAUAUAAAUGGCUCAUUGAAAGUUCUCACUGCAUGGAUGAGAAAUCUCAGAUUGAGGUUCUUAAAUUUUGAAAAAUAGAAAUAAAGGAAUUAACGCAACAGUCUUCUAAUCUUUCUGCCUUCAGUUUUUGCUCCCUUUGACUAUUCUCUGUACACUGCAUCCAGAGGUUAUAUUUUGACAGGGAAAUUCAAAUGAUGUAUAUUAUUUUUCUACUCAAAAUCUCCCCACUGGCACCCUAUUGUCCUAAAGCAUAAACUGCUAUUGCAGUCAAUUCACCUGAAAUAAGCUCUCUUCCUGCCGCGUCUUUUACAUAGAUUGUUUACUCCUCUUGUGAUCCCAGUUCCCUGCUUCUCCCUCUCCUCCACACUUUUCAAUAAUUAAAUUAUACUCAGCGUUCAGAAUUCAGUCAGGAUAUCCUACCUUCUUUGGUCAGCCCCCCAGGGUUUUCUGAAAGCUGGGAAGAGGCCCUCUUCUGCAAUCCCCAUGCACUGUAGACACAUCCCCUUUAGGUCCCUAUGUUGUGAGUGACUGUUUUCUUGUCUGUCUCUGCCACUAUAUUAUGCACUCUUAGAAGGCAAGGACUACUUCUCUUCAUUGUAUACCUAGAACUUAACCCAAAAACUGGCAUGUGCAUGCACCCAAGUUUUCACUGAGAAAAUAAUUGCAUGAGUCACUUGCUUUCCAGGUCUUUCUGACUACUAUGAUGGUGAUGACUUGUAGUCACAACAUGAAAUUGGUUUCUGCCCCUGAGGAUUGUAUCUCUCUACUUUGCAUGACCCCUAGAUUUCAAUCCCUCUUUAUUCUCUCCUGAUCCUUGGGUUCCAGUAAUUCUCUGGGUUUCAAAUAUAAGCACAGUGUGAGGAGCUCUUCAUUCUUGACAGAACUUUCAGGCAAGAAAGAAAUAGAUUCCUGGGAAUAUCUAUAUUCCCUCUGGCCCUAUUCCUUACUCCCAAAACAUAAUAACCCUUUUCUUAGGUUUUUUCUCUCUACCUUUUUACUUCUUCCUUAUUCUCACGAUUACAUGAAUUAACUGCCUACAGAGUAUGAAUUCAGACUGAAUUAAUAUGUAUUUAUGUGACAUAAAAGAUCUCUUUCAGUACUUCUUAAUCUUACCAAAUGAUGCAUACUAUACAAUAAAAAAUUGCAAUUUUUUCAUUAGCUUUUUUUUUUUUUUUUGGUUUCUGGUAGGGUUUUCCUUUAGUGGUAUUUUAGCAAGUAAUACAAUCCAGUUAUUUUUAAAAGUAUAUUAGUAGAAACUCACCAGAAGUCAAUAUACUGGUCCAAGAAUAAUUAACUGAUUGACUUUAUUGUUUAUGAAACUUUGUAAUGUUCCUUUUGAUGUGAAUGCUUAUCUUAGGGGGAAAUGCACUUUUCAAAUAUAAAUGAUCAUGUUUAAACAAACUGCUUCUAGUUUCAAAUAUGGCACUGAAAAACAAAAUAAAAUAAACACUCAAUUUUUAUUUAAAAUGGUGGGCAAUUUACUUUCUUUUUUGUUUGGGAUCUGAUUCAAGAGCCUCAAUUCAGCUUAUUGCAGAACUAACUAAACUAAACCUCAAAGGAAAAAUUUUAAAAAUGAUUUUUAUAGCAAUGACAUCAUUAUAUAAAAUGUUGGCAUUUCAUAUUUUCCAAACAGAAACUUGGAAAUAACAGAAUACAAGUUAAAUAAAACAAAUUGAAACUAAUCCAAUUCUCUGUUUUUCUUUCCCUUUUUAAAAACCAAGCUUUUUAUUGCCAGCUUUUACUUUGCAUAAUAAUAUAUGAUGAAUUGUCCAAGAAAGACCCAGUGGGUACAUUUCUCUUAGAAAUAAGCCUCUCUAUGCAAUAGGAGGCCAAGUUCUAGGGCAACAUACUUAUAUAAUCAUGUAAGAUUUUCCUUAUUGCUAACAAUUGACCAACCUGGGCAUUUGUCAAAUAUGUAAACACAUGGAGGUCACUGGUCACCAGAGGAUUGAAAACACAAAUCACUCUAUUCAUAUCCAUCCCUAGUUCUAGAAAAACAAUACCAAAUUAAAGCAUAUAUCCUACUAGCAAUAGGACUAGCAAAAUUAUUUUGGUAUACCAGAGCUACAUGUUAUACAUUUUGCUACUUAUGGAUUUAAUUACUCAGGAUAAUUAUACACAUGGCUACAACUGUAAACUUUAUAAUAUUUUGCUGGCAUACCUUCCAAAAGAGUUUGAAAAGCUAUGAAUUUAAUUCUAUAUUUGCAUUUGACAUAUAAAGUAC